rnacentral:tRNA from 5 species
AGGCUUAUAGCUCAGUGGAUAGAGCACUAGAUUCCGGUUCUAGGUGUCGUGGGUUCGAUUCCCCCUAAGCCUG